rnacentral:lncRNA from 10 species
CUCUAAGCCGGUCCGGCUCACACCCGCAGCGUCCCGGGCCCCGCUUUCCUUUUCAAGGGGCGGGUUGUAGAUCGCGCGCGCACCCUGGAGAGCCCGCUGGUUUGUGUGAGGCCCUGGCCCUGUGGGUAGCAGAACACUCUGUCUCGCUGUGAGCAACAAUACACUAAAAAAAAAAGAAAAGAAAAAAAAAAAAUAGUGUACUGGAAGGUUCUAGUAGCCCUCCCACAUCUCUUCAUCAAGUAAUGAUCCACCAAAUCAUUUCAUCUGUGAUUAAAUCAUCUACAAUGUCUUCCUCAGCCCUGUCAUCAUAAAUUUAACCAUUGCAAUGCUGCUUAACAUCAACAUAAAUACAUCUUAGGUAUGCAUCCUCUCACUCAAAAGAAUUCUCAAAUAGGUAAAGCCUAAUUCCCCUCCCCAUGAGGAUGUGACUCGCUUCUAACAGAAUAUGGCAGAAGUAAAGAUAUGUGACUUUGAGACUAUGUCAUGAAGGACAUUGUGGCUUCUGCCUAUCUUUCUUCUGGAUCACACCCCAGGGGAGAAAGCCAACCUCCAUGUUGUGAGGACACUCAAGCAGCCCUUCGUGGAGGUCCGCGUGGUGAGGAAUUGAGGCCUCCUGCUGAUGGCUCAUGCUAACUUGCUAGCCGUGGGAGUCAGCUACCUUGGAAGCAAUCCUUCAUCCCCAGUCAAGCACUCAGAUGACCGCAGCUCUGGCCAACAUCUUGACUGCAACCUGUGAACGACCCUGAGCAGAACUGUCCAGUUAAGCCACUCCUGGCUCACAGGAAUGGGGGAGAUAAUAAACAUUUAUCGUUUCAAGCUGUUAAGUUUGGGGGUAUGUUAUGCAGCAAGAGAUAACAAAUGUAGAAUAUUUCACUCAUUUCUACAUGAAGAUUUCUUUUCUUUUUUUUUUUUUUGAGACAGAGUCUCUCUCUGUCACCCAGGCUGGAGUGCAGUGGCGCGAUCUCAGCUCACUGCAACCUCCACCUCCCGGGUUCAUGCCAUUCUCCUGCCUCAGCCUCCCAAGUAGCUGGGACUACAGGUGCCCACCACCACGCCUAGCUAAUUUUUUUGCAUUUUUUUAGUAGAGACAGGGUUUCACCAUGUUAUCCAGGAUGGUCUCGAUCUCCUGACCUCAUGAUGCGCCCACCUCGGCCUCCCAAAGUGCUGGGAUUACACGUGUGAGCCACUGCGCCCGGCCCUACAUGAUGAUUUCUAUCACAUAAAUAUACAAUACUAUAUUUAUCAAGCACUAUAUGUUAAUAGAUUCAUUAUCAAUCCUAUCCCGUUAGAAUGUAAGCUGCAUGAAAGAAGAAAGUUUGUUUUGUUCAUUGCCAUAGACUUACAGUGUUGAUAAAUAAAUAAAUAUUUCUUGAAUGUGUGAAUCACUUGAUGAGUUUACCAUAAUUUGUAUCAGAUUAAAAAAUGGAGAAUAAAAAACUUUUUAGACUA